GUAUAAGAGACAGGUGAAUCAUCGAAUCUUUGAACGCACAUUGCGCCCCUCGGUAUUCCGUGGGGCAUGCCUGUUCGAGCGUCAUCUACACCCUCAAGCUCUGCUUGGUGUUGGGCGUCUGUCCCGCCUCCGCGCGUGGACUCGCCCCAAAUUCAUUGGCAGCGGUCCUUGCCUCCUCUCGCGCAGCACAUUGCGCUUCUUGAGGGGCUCCGGUUCGCGUCCAACAAGCACAUUUACCGUCUUUGACCUCGGAUCAGGUAGGGAUACCCGCUGAACUUAAGCAUAUCAAUAAGCGGAGGA
rnacentral:misc_RNA from 1 species